rnacentral:lncRNA from 1 species
UUGGAUUGAGUUUGUUGUGCUCUCUUUUCGUUUAUUUUGAGGAGCUUGUUCAUUUACAUGUUUGCUUGGUUGGCAUUGAGAUGGGGGCUUAUCUUGCGUGCUACAUCAUUAUGAUCAUUUGGUCGGCUCAAAUUGAUGUCAUUCUCAAUAAGUUGGUUAUGAACUUGGAUGGCUUCUGCUCUGUACCAUUUUGAGGACUUGGUAGUGGCUUUGGGCUUCAUGCGAUGAGUUGUUUAUCACUUGGCUAGCUUUUGUCACUGGUUCAUGGAAUUUUCUGCUUCUAUUUUUUGUUGAGCUUAACGAUGAUUGGCGCCCUGGUUGGACGCAUGGGUAAUUUUUCUUGCGUAAUUUUUGGAAUCUGAAUGCUUCUACGUUUUCCGAUUUAACAGGCACUCUCAUUUGCCUCAAUUUGUUGGUGACAAUUUGGAUUUGGAUCUAUGAUAAGCUACGUUGAGGAUGUCAUAAAAUAUUUGUACAAGCCCAUUCGGCCCCAGCCCAAAUACAAACACUAACCCAACCCAAAAAAAUUAGACCCUAAAUCCCACUUAGCCUCACCUAGAACCCUCUGGCCGUCUGCCACCUCCUGCCUGCUGCAGCCACCGCCCUCGUCACUGUGCCACCGCCCAAAAUUGUACCUGCAAGCAUUAAACGAGACAAGACAGAACAAGAAGCAAGUUGUAAACGCCUAUAAAAGGCUGAAUCCAUUACCUUUUGUACAUUCGGACAUUUUUCAAAUACAAAAAAAGAACAUAGAUUCAAGCAAAAAAAAAGCAUUAUUAGCCUUCAAGAAAUAAAAAAAAGCAUCCAAACAGACCAAAAGCCCUCAAGAACAGAAGCCGUAGUCCUAAGGUGGUUAGUUUUAUUUUUUUCUUUCUUUUUCGUUGAUAUUUCAUGGCCAAUCGAUCUAUUUUAUACCCAUAUAUGUGUGAAUAGGCAAUAUAUACAAAAGAAAAGUGAAUACAUUUUAAAACACACAAAAAAAGAGAGAAAUUUUUUUAUACCUGCGGCGAUUUCCGGCCACCGUACGGAGACACGGCGGAGCGAUGGCCGGAGUCCUCGCCGGCAUAUGGACCUGCAGAGAAAAUAAAAAGCUCAGUUUUCUUUUUUUUUCUUAACAGA